rnacentral:rRNA from 1 species
AGCAGCCGCGGUAAUUCCAGCUCCAAUAGCGUAUAUUAAAGUUGUUGCAGUUAAAAAGCUCGUAGUUGAAUUUCGGGGUUAGUAGGUUGGUCAUGCCUCCGGUAUGUACUGGUCUCACUGAUUCCUCCUUCCUGAUGAGCCGUAAUGCCAUUAAUUUGGUGUUGCGGGGAAUCUGGACUGUUACUUUGAAAAAAUUAGAGUGUUUAAAGCAAGCUAACGCUUGAAUACAUUAGCAUGGAAUAAUGGAAUAGGACGUUCGAUCCUAUUUUGUUGGUUUCUAGGAUUGACGUAAUGAUUAAUAGGGAUAGUUGGGGGCAUUAGUAUUCAAUUGUCAGAGGUGAAAUUCUUGGAUUUAUUGAAGACUAACUACUGCGAAAGCAUUUGCCAAGGAUGUUUUCAUUAAUCAAGAACGAAAGUUAGGGGAUCGAAGACGAUCAGAUACCGUCGUAG